GUAGCUGGUCUGAGAGGAUGAUCAGCCACACUGGGACUGAGACACGGCCCAGACUCCUACGGGAGGCAGCAGUGGGGAAUAUUGGACAAUGGGGGCAACCCUGAUCCAGCAAUGCCGCGUGUGUGAAGAAGGCCUGAGGGUUGUAAAGCACUUUCAGUGGGGAGGAGUGGUUAGAAGGUUAAGAGCCAUUUGACUGGACGUUACCCACAGAAGAAGCACCGGCUAACUCCGUGCCAGCAGCCGCGGUAAUACGGAGGGUGCGAGCGUUAAUCGGAAUUACUGGGSGUAAAGGGUG
rnacentral:rRNA from 1 species